UACGUAGGGGGCAAGCGUUGUCCGGAUUCAUUGGGCGUAAAGAGCUCGUAGGCGGUUCAGUAAGUCGGGUGUGAAAGCUCCGAGCUCAACUCGGAGAGGCCACCCGAUACUGCUGUGACUUGAGUCCAGUAGAGGAGCGUGGAAUUCCUGGUGUAGCGGUGAAAUGCGCAGAUAUCAGGAGGAACACCAGUGGCGAAGGCGACUUCCUGGCCUGUUCUUGACGCUGAGGCGCGAAAGCUAGGGGAGCAAACGGG
rnacentral:rRNA from 1 species